AAAGAGUCAGACACGACUGAGCGACUGAACUGGACUGAACUGAACUGAACAGUGCCCUGAGUUCACUUUGAUAAACAAAUUGCUCCCAGCCAUGAGUCAGUCCAUUCCAUCCCCCACUCCAGGGUAAUCCCAAGACCCAGACUUAGCCAAUCAGUGCAUUUGAAAACCAUGAAGGGGUUUAGGGUGGAUAUUUGACCCACUUUGGACAAAUUAGAAUCAGAUUCAAGAUGUUUUUCUCACAAUUGUUUAGAAGAAAGAAUCUUUUUUUAUUUCCUGAACAUGAAUUUGGAGGACAUAAACUUGGAGCUACCUGGAGCCCACAUCAGGGGAAAGUUUGGGGCCACUUUCCAAUAGGAGAGAGAGCCUACCCAAGAGGCAAGCCAAGACUGAGGAAAGUACUGCUGAGAAGCCAAGCCCUGAAGGCGAUCUGAGCAGGAUCCGUGUGCGCGAGCUAAGUCGCUUCAGUUGUGUCUGACCCUUUGCGAUCCUGUCAGCUGUAGCCCACCAGGGUCCUCUGUCCAUGGGAUUCUGCAGGCAAGAAUAUUAGAGUGGACUGCAAUUUUCAGCUAGAUCCAGUGAUGGCUAAAUCUACUGCCUGAAAAUUUUCAGAUCCAUAAGUCGAUUCAUUUUUCAUUGUAUUCCCUGUAAGUCUGAGUUGGGAUUCCUUUGCUUGAGGAUAGGAACUGGAUUUUAUCUCUUUGAACCUGAAGCAUCUAAAACAAUACCUGCUGGCACCCUCAUGAAGAAUCUUGUGUUUCAAGGUAAAAGGGUUUAGACCUUAUCUUGGACAGGUUGAGGAAUCACUGAAGGACCUUCAGCAGCAGAGACAUGCGGUAUUUUGUGUAUUGGAGCUACAGGUGGAAAGAGUCUGGCGUUUUGGCUGCUUGCAAAAGCAAGCAGUGGUGAACAUGAUACUCUUACCUCCUAGCCCACCUAGCUGAAAUUACACGCCUGCUGAUGAUGGGAGGCUGGAGCCGUACCUGAGUUAUAAGCCCCUUCUAGCGCUAUGUGAGCAACAGGGGUUCUGUUUGGUAAUUCCCCCAAAUGCAUCCCCUUUUACAGACUCUGGUUACUCCUACAAGGAGACUUUGAGGUGUCCACAAGGCAGGACUGCACACAUCGAGAGCCAGCAGUAAAGCACGCUUCACUCUGCAGGGUAACAUCAGGCACUCAUUAAAGGAAUGCGCUAGCUGUGGGUGAUUAAAAUCUAAUUGAAACAAGCAUCCUGUGAAUGGCUUCCAGAAUCCAGGCAAGAGAAGACUGUUAAAUGUUUGAAAACUAUUUUAUGAUCAAGCAUCCCCACUUCCUUUUCUCCCAGACAGUCCUGUGGCAGAUUGACGUUUAUCUCCUAUUCUUCUGUUACUCUCACCGUCUCUCAGUCACCAGUUGUAUUAUGGUAUUACGGUACGACUGUAAAGGACCAGGUUAUAUUCCUCUCUAGAUAUGAUCCUUGAGGGCAGACAGUCUUAUUUAUGUUUCUUUUUCCAGCUCUUCCCACAUUCUCCACAGUGUCCUUAAUGCCAGUUUGCUGAACUGAAUUGGUGAAACUCGAUCUCUAAAUAAAUCUGAUCCCCCCCAAAAAUGAUCAAAAAUAUGCAUGUUCUCUGACUCCCUAUGACCACUGCCAGAAGCUCAAACUGAACGAAGCAAAAUUCAAAAGCCAGUCAUCAGUCGCCAUUAGGAACAGCUGGAUCCAGAUUUCCGGCGUCACCCACACUCUCUUUCUCUGUCUUUUGCCUCUGCUCUCCUUUGCUUUAAGCUUCAUUCUUAGGCAAGUCUGUGCAGGAGAUGACAAGCAUGGCCACCAGCAUCUACGGGCUAAAUUCUGCCAGCUUAGCAAGACCAGUAGGAAAAAGUUUCUCUUGCUCAAUAUCUCUGGCAAAGGUCCUGAGAUCCAGUCUCAUUGGCUUGGCUUGUGACCAUUGGCUUAGUCAUGUGACCAUUACUAAGCCACUUGUAGCCUGGAGACUGGAUUACACUGAUUAGCCUGGUCUGAGUAAUACGGCCAUUCUUGGCACCAAAAAGUGAGGCUUCAUCCAGAUCAUAUGGAUUGAGAGUAGAGGAAAGUGUUCUCCAGAGAAAAAUGAGGGUCAUAUUAACUGAAGAAAGGAAAAUAGCUAAACCUCACAAUGUGCAUUAUAUACAAACAUUUGAUAAUUCCUGUGGGCGGUUAUAACAAAAACAAUAAUAAUGAUAGCUACCAUCAACUAAGUAUUUACUAUAUCAUAGCACUGUUCUGUGGAGAAGGCAAUGGCACCCCACUCCAGUACUCUUGCCUGGAAA
rnacentral:lncRNA from 1 species